AACGAACGCUGGCGGCAUGCCUAACACAUGCAAGUCGAACGAGACCUUCCGGCUUGCUGGCGAACGGGGUCGUAACGCGUGGGAUCAUGCCCUUAGGUUCGGAACAACUCCUCGAAAGGGGUGCUAAUACCUGGUAAUGUUUUCGGACCAAAGAUUUAUCGCCUUUGGUGGGGCCCGCGUUGGUUUAGCGAGGUGGUAGGGCAAAAGCCUACCAAGGCGACGAUCCGUAGCUGGUUUGUGAGGAUGAUCAGCGAAACUGGGACUGAGACACGGCCCAGACUCGUACGGGAGGUGGCAGUGGGGAAUAUUGGACCAUGGGCGAGAGGCUGAGCCAGCGAGGCCGGGUGGGUGAUGAAGGGGUUAGGGUUGUAAAGCUCUUUUAACCGGGAUGAUAAUGACGGUACCGGGAGAAUAAGCACCGGCUAACUCCGUG
rnacentral:rRNA from 1 species